rnacentral:rRNA from 1 species
GACGAACGCUGGCGGCGUGCUUAACACAUGCCAGUCGAACGCUGAAGCUCAGCUUUUGUUGGGUGGAUGAGUGGCGAACGGGUGAGUAACACGUGAGUAACCUGCCCCCUUCUUUGGGAUAACGCCCGGAAACGGGUGCUAAUACUGGAUAUUCACUGGUCUUCGCAUGGGGGUUGGUGGAAAGGGUUUUUCUGGUGGGGGAUGGGCUCGCGGCCUAUCAGCUUGUUGGUGGGGUGAUGGCCUACCAAGGCUUUGGCGGGUAGCCGGCCUGAGAGGGUGACCGGUCACAUUGGGACUGAGAUACGGCCCAGACUCCUACGGGAGGCAGCAGUGGGGAAUAUUGCACAAUGGGCGCAAGCCUGAUGCAGCGACGCCGCGUGAGGGAUGGAGGCCUUCGGGUUGUGAACCUCUUUCGCUCAUGGUCAAGCCGCAACAAUGGUUGUGGUGAGGGUAGUGGGUAAAGAAGCGCCGGCUAACUACGUG